rnacentral:rRNA from 1 species
UACGAAGGGGGCUAGCGUUGUUCGGAAUUACUGGGCGUAAAGCGCACGUAGGCUGUGCGACAAGUCAGUGGUGAAAUCCCGGGGCUCAACCUCGGAACUGCCAUUGAAACUGUCGUGCUAGAAUCUCAGAGGGGGUAGCGGAAUUCCAAAUGUAGGGGUGAAAUCCGUAGAUAUUUGGAGGAACACCGGUGGCGAAGGCGGCUCACUGGUCCGGUACUGACGCUGAGGUGCGAAAGCGUGGGGAGCAAACAGG